ACGCUCGACACCUACGGGAGCAGCAGUGGGGAAUAUUGCACAAUGGGGGAAACCCUGAUGCAGCGACGCCGCGUGAGCGAAGAAGUAUCUCGGUAUGUAAAGCUCUAUCAGCAGGGAAGAAGAUGACGGUACCUGACUAAGAAGCACCGGCUAAAUACGUGCCAGCAGCCGUGGUAAUCUGAGCGGGCUGGCAAGGC
rnacentral:rRNA from 1 species